GUGGGGAAUUUUGGACAAUGGGCGCAAGCCUGAUCCAGCAAUGCCGCGUGCAGGAAGAAGGCCUUCGGGUUGUAAACUGCUUUUGUACGGAACGAAACGGUCCGGGUUAAUACCCUGGGCUAAUGACGGUACCGUAAGAAUAAGCACCGGCUAACUACGUGCCAGCAGCCGCGGUAAUACGUAGGGUGCAAGCGUUAAUCGGAAUUACUGGGCGUAAAGCGUGCGCAGGCGGUUUUGUAAGACCGGCGUGAAAUCCCCGGGCUCAACCUGGGAAUUGCGCUUGUGAGUGGAAGGCUGGAGUGCGGCAGAGGGGGAUGGAAUUCCGCGUGUAGCAGUGAAAUGCGUAGAUAUGCGGAGGAACACCGAUGGCGAAGGCAAUCCCCUGGGCCUACACUGACGCUCAUGCACGAAAGCGUGGGGAGCAAACAGGAUUAGAAACCCGGGUAGUCC
rnacentral:rRNA from 1 species